CAAGUCCCUGCUGCCCUGCGCCCUGCUGAAGCUGCGGCUGCUGCGGGGCCGGGCCCUGCUCUUCGUGGGCACCCUCGCCCGCUGCUACCGCCUCAAGCUCUUCCUCGAGCAGUUUGGCAUCCCCGCCUGCGCCCUCAACUCCGAGCUGCCCGCCCGCUCCCGGUGUCACGUCAUCACCCAGUUCAACCGGGGCAUCUACGACUACAUCGUGGCCACCGAUGAGGAGGCGCCAGCGGUGCCUGCAGAGCAGCCCCCUCGCAAAAAGCACAAGGGUGCUGCCCAGAGCAAGGGCAAGGACCCAGAGUACGGCGUCGCGCGUGGCAUCGACUUCCAAAAUGUGGCCGCUGUCAUCAAUUUUGAUGUGCCACCAACGGUCGAGUCCUAC